rnacentral:rRNA from 1 species
UACGGGGGGGGCAAGCGUUGUUCGGAAUUACUGGGCGUAAAGGGCUCGUAGGUGGCCAACUAAGUCAGACGUGAAAUCCCUCAGCUUAACUGGGGAACUGCGUCUGAUACUGGAUGGCUUGAGUUUGGGAGAGGGAUGCGGAAUUCCAGGUGUAGCGGUGAAAUGCGCAGAUAUCAGGAGGAACACCGGUGGCGAAGGCGGAUCUCUGGGCCGAUACUGACGCUGAGGAGCGAAAGCGUGGGGAGCGAACAGG